AUACUAAAAAUGGAAAUAGUUAAAAGAUAUUCUGUUGUGUGCAGUUUGCAUUUUAAAAGGAGCGAUUACAAGUUUCCUGAUGUAUCAGUUUAAUUACGAAUUUUAAAACCAGACGCUGUGCCAUCAUGUAACCUUUCCAAAA